rnacentral:lncRNA from 1 species
GGGGGGAGGAGGUGUGAGUGGGUGCUUGUCCCGGCCUCGCCGAGGAGGUUUUUAUCAAAAACCGUCCGUUUCUAUGGUUAUUCGGUGUCACGUGAUGCAUGGAUAUGGUCACGUGAUUGCAGGCAUUGACGCCCGAUAAUGCCGGCGGCUCGGCGAACCGGGACAAGCACCUAGUCGUGCCUCUUCUGCCUCCGGCGAGGAUUGGGCGCGCAGGCCGGCUGCAGCAGAGGUCUGGCUAUUAUUAUAUGCAGACCGAUAGCCGCCGGCUGCCACAGUUGUCUAUAUUUGUUACGUUAUAGCUAUAUAAUAAAGAUUACAAUAUUUCCAAGAUAUCUUUAUUGUUUCAAUAAAAUGAGUCUUAGUAAAGGAUUAGUUAAACAGGUAUGUUUUCUUUGUUUGAUUCACAUAAAUAUAUUUUGUAGCACCACAGUCUACAAAGAACACAUUUCACGCUGAACUGCUGGCAUCGGUUACAUUUAUAUCGUAGUACGACUGCGGAUGGAUAUUCUCGUUCCAACUCUCUGAUCGGUAUGUCGUAAAGAAAACACAAAUAUAUCGUGAGAAACGAUCCUUUACAAUAUAUAUUUGUAUAUGUUUCCAGCAGAUCGGAUAAUAUAUACCGUACGUGGUCCGUUCUUACCCAUACGUGUCUGCUGCUAUUGGGGCCAUCGCAGUCCGUAUCCGUUGUCUAUGGUAAAUAUAACGAUAUUUCUGUUGAUGAUUGACAAGUGUCGAAAUUUCACUCCUUUUGAGUGUAGAUGUGGAUUUGAUCGUAGAUGUAUUUGUCUGCUAGAGAGACAAAAGUAAGUCUUC